GACGAACGCUGGCGGCGUGCUUAACACAUGCAAGUCGAGCGGAGCGGCGAACGGGUGAGUAACGCGUGAGUAACUGCCCCCCUCUCUGGGAUAACAGUUGGAAACGGCUGCUAAUACCGGAUAGUGGGGGAUGACUCGCGUCCUAUCAGCUUGUUGGUGGGGUAGUGGCUUACCAAGGGGACGACGGUUAGCCAGCCUGAGAGGGCGACCGGCAACAUAGGGCAGGGAAACCGGCCAAACUGAUACGGGAGGCAGCAGUGGGGAAUAUAGGAAGAUGGGGGAAACCAUGAUGCAGCAACGCCGCGUGCGAGAGGACGGCCUUCGGGUUGGAAACCGCUUUCAGCCAUGACGCGGUAGUGGCAGAAGAAGCACCGGCUAACUACGUGCCAGCAGCCGCGGUAAUUC
rnacentral:rRNA from 1 species